UCGGAUAUGGUGUAACGGCUAACAUUGCCGCCUCUCAUUGGAUGGUUGCAAGAUUCCGCGGCAGCUCGGGGUUCGAUUCCCCGUAUCCGAA